AUUGAGAUAACAAGAAUUUUUGUUGACUGAUGAGUAUUUUUUUAGAGUUUUUGAUCAAUAUGUUGUAUUUUUUAGAUUUAAUUCUCAAAUAUUCUAUUUUAGGAAAUUUUCAUUUUAUUGAGAAAUAUUGUACAUUUGGGGUUGUUAUUUAGAAAUAGGAUAACAAGAACUUUUGUUGAUAGAUGAGUAUUCUAUUAGAUUUUUUGAUCAAUAUGUGGUAUUUUUAAAAUAAAAUACUCAAAAAUCUAUUUUAGGAAAGUUUUUAUUUUCAUAGGGAAAUAUUGUAAAUUUGGGGUUGUGAUUUAGAAAUUGAAAUAACAAGAAUUUUUGUUGAUAGAUGAGUAUUUUUUUUAGAUUUUUUUAUCAAUAGGUUGUAUUUUUUAAAUAAGAUACUCAAACAAUCUAUUUUAGGAAAGUUUUCAUUUUCAUUGGAAAAUAUUGUAAAUUUGAGGUUGUGAUUUAGAAAUUGAGAUAACAAGAAUUUUUGUUGAUAGAUGAGUAUUUUUUUAGAAUUUUUUUUUAUCAAUAUGUUGUAUUUUUUAAAUAAAAUACUCAAAAAUCUAUUUUAGGAAUAAAAUACUCAAAAAAUU
rnacentral:lncRNA from 1 species